rnacentral:rRNA from 1 species
CAGCCUGAUGCAGCCAUGCCGCGUGUAUGAAGAAGGCCUUCGGGUUGUAAAGUACUUUCAGCGGGGAGGAAGGGAGUAAAGUUAAUACCUUUGCUCAUUGACGUUACCCGCAGAAGAAGCACCGGCUAACUCCGUGCCAGCAGCCGCGGUAAUACGGAGGGUGCAAGCGUUAAUCGGAAUUACUGGGCGUAAAGCGCACGCAGGCGGUUUGUUAAGUCAGAUGUGAAAUCCCCGGGCUCAACCUGGGAACUGCAUCUGAUACUGGCAAGCUUGAGUCUCGUAGAGGGGGGUAGAAUUCCAGGUGUAGCGGUGAAAUGCGUAGAGAUCUGGAGGAAUACCGGUGGCGAAGGCGGCCCCCUGGACGAAGACUGACGCUCAGGUGCGAAAGCGUGGGGAGCAAACAGGAUUAGAUACC